UACGGAGGGUGCAAGCGUUGUCCGGAAUCACUGGGCGUAAAGGGCGCGUAGGCGGCUCAUGAAGGCUGUGGUGAAAGUCCGGGGCUCAACCUCGGAUCGGCCGUGGCGACUCGUGGGCUGGAGCACUGUAGAGGCGGGUGGAAUUCCGGGUGUAGCGGUGGAAUGCGUAGAGAUCCGGAAGAACACCGGUGGCGAAGGCGGUCUGCUGGGCCAAGACUGACGCUGAGGCGCGACAGCGUGGGGAGCGAACAGG
rnacentral:rRNA from 1 species